UUGGUUAAGUUAGAAAGGGCGCACGGUGGAUGCCUUGGCACUAGGAGCCGAAGAAGGACGGGACUAACACCGAUAUGCUUUGGGGAGCUGUACGUAAGCGUUGAUCCAGAGAUUUCCGAAUGGGGGAACCCACUAUCUUUAGUCGGAUAGUAUCCUUACGUGAAUACAUAGCGUAAGGAAGGCAGACCCAGGGAACUGAAACAUCUAAGUACCUGGAGGAAGAGAAAGAAAAAUCGAUUUCCUGAGUAGCGGCGAGCGAAACGGAAAGAGCCCAAACCAAGAAGCUUGCUUCUUGGGGUUGUAGGACACUCUAUACGGAGUUACAAAAGAAAGUUAUAAAUGAAGCGGUCUGGAAAGGCCCGCCAAAGACGGUAACAGCCCGGUAGUUGAAAUGGCUUUCCCUCCAGAGUGGAUCCUGAGUACGGCGGAACACGUGAAAUUCCGUCGGAAUCCGGGAGGACCAUCUCCCAAGGCUAAAUACUCCCUAGUGACCGAUAGUGAACCAGUACCGUGAGGGAAAGGUGAAAAGCACCCCGGAAGGGGAGUGAAACAGUUCCUGAAACCGUGUGCCUACAAGUAGUUAGAGCCCGUUAAUGGGUGAUAGCGUGCCUUUUGUAGAAUGAACCGGCGAGUUACGAUUUGUUGCAAGGUUAAGCGGAAAAAGCGGAGCCGUAGCGAAAGCGAGUCUGAAUAGGGCGCAUAAGUAACAGGUCGUAGACCCGAAACCAGGUGAUCUACCCAUGUCCAGGAUGAAGGUAAGGUAAUACUUACUGGAGGUCCGAACCCACGCACGUUGAAAAGUGCGGGGAUGAGGUGUGGGUAGCGGAGAAAUUCCAAUCGAACUUGGAGAUAGCUGGUUCUCUCCGAAAUAGCUUUAGGGCUAGCCUCGAGGUAAAGAGUCAUGGAGGUAGAGCACUGUUUGGACUAGGGGCCCUUCUCGGGUUACCGAAUUCAGAUAAACUCCGAAUGCCAUGUACUUAUACUCGGGAGUCAGACUGCGAGUGAUAAGAUCCGUAGUCGAAAGGGAAACAGCCCAGACCACCAGUUAAGGUCCCCAAAUAUAUGUUAAGUGGAAAAGGAUGUGGGGUUGCUUAGACAACCAGGAUGUUGGCUUAGAAGCAGCCACCAUUGAAAGAGUGCGUAAUAGCUCACUGGUCGAGUGACCCCGCGCCGAAAAUGUACCGGGGCUAAACAUAUUACCGAAACUGUGGAUGAACCUCUUCGGAGGUUCGUGGUAGGAGAGCGUUCUAAGGGCGGUGAAGUCAGACCGGAAGGACUGGUGGAGCGCUUAGAAGUGAGAAUGCCGGUAUGAGUAGCGAAAGAAGGGUGAGAAUCCCUUCCACCGAAUAUCUAAGGUUUCCUGAGGAAGGCUCGUCCGCUCAGGGUUAGUCGGGACCUAAGCCGAGGCCGAUAGGCGUAGGCGAUGGACAACAGGUAGAGAUUCCUGUACCAGUGCUAAUUGUUUAACCGAUGGGGUGACACAGAAGGAUAGGGAAUCGCACGAAUGGAAAUGUGCGUCCAAGCAGUGAGUGUGAGAAGUAGGCAAAUCCGCUUCUCGCGAAGCAUGAGCUGUGAUGGGGAAGGAAAUUAAGUACGGAAGUUCCUGAUUUCACGCUGUCAAGAAAAGCCUCUAGGAAGAGUAGUACUGCCCGUACCGCAAACCGACACAGGUAGAUGAGGAGAGAAUCCUAAGGUGAGCGAGAGAACUCUCGUUAAGGAACUCGGCAAAAUGACCCCGUAACUUCGGGAGAAGGGGUGCUCUAUUAGGGUGCAAGCCCGAGAGAGCCGCAGUGAAUAGGCCCAGGCGACUGUUUAGCAAAAACACAGGUCUCUGCAAAACCGUAAGGUGACGUAUAGGGGCUGACGCCUGCCCGGUGCUGGAAGGUUAAGAGGAGUGCUUAGCU
rnacentral:rRNA from 1 species